rnacentral:rRNA from 1 species
AUGUUCUUGCUGUCAAAGACCAUGAUUGCAAGAUUGGAUAAACACAGAAGGAGAUUCUUUUGGCAAGUUACUAAGAAUAGAAAAAGGUAUUAUUUGGUCAAAUGGACCAGAAUCUGUCGAUCUAAAAACAAAGGGGGGCUGGGAGUUAAAGACUUGCAUAAACAGAAUCUCAGUUUGCUCACCAAGUGGUGGUGGAAACUGGAGACCAAAAAAGGUUUAUGGCAAGAUAUUAUUAAGGCUAGAUAUCUUCGUAGAGAUACUAUUGCCUCGGUUAAAGGGAAAAUCAGCGACUCCCCUUGUUGGAAGGCGAUAAUGAAAUUAAAAGACCUUUAUAUGGCAGGUAGACGUGUGGUGAUACAAUCUGGCAAUAUUGCCAGGCUUUGGAGGGAUCCUGUUGGGAUCAAUUACCAUUUUGUGAACAAUUCCCCAGAUUGUCAAUACCUGCCUAUCGGCUGA